rnacentral:rRNA from 1 species
AUUGAACUCUGGCGGCAGGCCUAACACAUGCAAGUCGAACGAGUGGCGGACGGGUGCGUAAUGUCUGGGAAACUGCCCGAAGGUGGGGGAUAACUACUGGAAACGGUCGCUAAUACCGCCUAUCAUCGGAUGAGCCCAGAUGGGAUUAGCUAGUAGGUGGGGUAACGGCUCCCCUAGGCGACGAUCUCUAGCUGGUCUGAGAGGAUGACCAGCCACACGGGAACUGAGACGCGGGCCAGAAUCCAACGAGGGGCACCAGUGGGUAAGAGUGCACACGGGGCGCAAGCCGGAAGCAGCCAAGCCGCGUGUAUGAAGAAGGCCUUCGGGUUGUAAAGUACUUUCAGCGAGGAGGCGUUACUCGCAGGAGAAGCACCGGCUAACUCCGUGCCAGCCGCGGCGGUAAUAC